CUAGGAUUAGAUACCCUAUUAUUUAAAAUGUAAUUUUAAAACUAAAGUAUUAAUAGAUAUGGUCUUUAAACUUAAAAAAUUUGGCGGUAUUUUAGUCUGUUCAGAGGAACCUGUAUUAUAAUCGAUAAUCCACGUUGGACCUUACUUUAAUUUAUAAAUUAGUUUAUAUACCGUCGUUAUAAAAAAUUUUAUAAGAAUAAUAAUUUUUAAUUAAUUUUAUAUAAAUUUUAUAUCAGAUCAAGGUGUAGCUUAUAUUAAAGUAAAUUAUGGGUUACAAUAAAAUUAUUUAUAUGGAUAUAAAAAUGAAAAAUUUAUUGAAAGAGGAUUUGAAAGUAAAAUUAAAAAGAUUUUUAAUUUGAUUUUAGCUCUAAAAUAUGUACAUAUCGCCCGUCACUCUUAUUAUUAAAAUAAGAUAAGUCGUAACAUA
rnacentral:rRNA from 1 species